rnacentral:lncRNA from 1 species
GCCGAUCCUAACCCACAGGGACUCAGUCUUAUCAUUCCCAGUCUCAGCCUCGAGUUCUGCAACAUUAAAACACUCUCUAAUAUAGAGAGCCACACCACCACCCCUUCUGUGCUGCCUGUCCCUUCUGAAGAGCCUAUAGCCAGUUAUUGCAGCACUCCAGUCAUGGGAGUGGUCGCACCACGUUUCAGUGAUGGCAACCAAGGCAUAGCUAGCUUGCUGCACAAUGGCUUCCAGCUCCUCCUGUUUGUUGCCCAUGCUGCAUGCAUUAGUGUAGAUGCACUUCAGCUGUGCUAUUUCCUGCCCCCCCCCCGGCCCUGACACUGUUCCCCCUGGCACACCUCUAACAAGCCUUAUUCCAUCCCAUCCCUGUCCCCGAUAAUGGGCCCAAGCAUGUUUUCUUUGCUGGUUCUUGAGAAAACAUAAAUUGACUUCACACAGAAACAAGAUAAGUAAAUUUUAGUGGCAGUUUAUAGUAUUUUUUUUAAUGGUCAAUAAUGUUUUCUGUUAAUGGUUUUCUUUCCAUCUUUGCAUUCCAUGUGAAGUAACACGAAGAUAAUCAGCAUUUUGAAGGCAACUAAAAGGUGUGAAGAUGGCCAGGAUGAAUCUGGGGACUAUCCUUCAAGAGCCUGUGGAAUAUGUGGAACUGUGGAACAGCUCUGGGCUGUUCCUCUCCUUGACAGCAUUGCUCCCGCACAGGGGUCACAGCCUUCAUUUUGCAGGUGCAUAUGGACACAGGAAGCAUUACCUCAUCGCUCCGGUUUGGCAUUGGAUGGGCAGAAGCAGAGGAGGAGCUGGGAAAACUGACAUCCUAGACAGACAAAAAAAGUUGGACUGGGUAAAAAAAGUUGGAUUCUGCCAGCUUCUUGCUGUGGUCUGUUAACAGCUGCCUAGGCACAGGACUCUUCUCCUGCAAGUCCUCUGCAGAUACAGAACCAAUGGUUCUGUGUGCUAAAUGCCUGGAGCAGUUAUUUUCAUACUUUGUCCAUGUCUAUGUUCAAUUAAACCUGCAUCUCGUUAUACUGCUACCUACUGUGUUCUUUUCACAUAUUGGCCAAAAUCUGCUCUUCAAAUCUCCUGAUUAAGGAAGUUUGCAUGAAAACAACUGGUGAAUGCAGUUCUUCCCUUUUUGGACUGAGGUCAGGGCUCAGGAGGUAUUUCUGCUGCGCCUUGAAACCCUAGUGCACGCUCCCGGAUUGAUAAUAAGUAUGCUGAACACCACCAGACCAAGUUCAUCUGCUGCCGAGGAGAGGAGCUGCAC